GAUGAACGCUAGCGGCAGGCUUAAUACAUGCAAGUCGAGGGGCAGCACGAAUAGCAAUAUUUGGUGGCGACCGGCGCACGGGUGCGUAACACGUAUACAACCUACCUAUAACAGGGGGAUAGCCUUUCGAAAGAGAGAUUAAUACCCCGUAAUAAAUUGAGUGGCAUCACUUGAUUUUGAAAGCUACGGCGGUUAUAGAUGGGUAUGCGUCUGAUUAGCUAGUCGGUGAGGUAACGGCUCACCAAGGCGACGAUCAGUAGGGGAUCUGAGAGGACUAACCCCCACACUGGUACUGAGACACGGACCAGACUCCUACGGGAGGCAGCAGCAAGGAAUAUUGGUCAAUGGAGGCAACUCUGAACCAGCCAUGCCGCGUGCAGGAUGACGGCCCUAUGGGUUGUAAACUGCUUUUGUACCAGAGAAAACCUACUCACGUGUGAGUAGCUGAUAGUAUGGUAAGAAUAAGCAUCGGCUAACUUCGUGCCAGCAGCCGCGGUAAUAC
rnacentral:rRNA from 1 species